rnacentral:rRNA from 1 species
AUUGAACGCUGGCGGCAUGCUUUACACAUGCAAGUCGAACGGUAACAGGUUAAGCUGACGAGUGGCGAACGGGUGAGUAAUGCAUCGGAACGUGCCCGGUCGUGGGGGAUAACACUUCGAAAGAAGUGCUAAUACCGCAUACGAUCUAAGGAUGAAAGCGGGGGACCGUAAGGCCUCGCGCGAUCGGAGCGGCCGAUGUCAGAUUAGGUAGGUGGUGGGGUAAAGGCCUACCAAGCCGACGAUCUGUAGCUGGUCUGAGAGGACGACCAGCCACACUGGGACUGAGACACGGCCCAGACUCCUACGGGAGGCAGCAGUGGGGAAUUUUGGACAAUGGGCGCAAGCCUGAUCCAGCAAUGCCGCGUGCAGGAAGAAGGCCUUCGGGUUGUAAACUGCUUUUGUACGGAACGAAACGGCGAACUCUAAUACAGUUUGCUAAUGACGGUACCGUAAGAAUAAGCACCGGCUAACUACGUGCCAGCAGCCGCGGUAA